rnacentral:rRNA from 1 species
CCUACGGGAGGCAGCAGUGGGGAAUAUUGGACAAUGGGCGAAAGCCUGAUCCAGCAAUGCCGCGUGAGUGAUGAAGGCCUUCGGGUCGUAAAGCUCUUUUACCAGGGAUGAUAAUGACAGUACCUGGAGAAUAAGCUCCGGCUAACUCCGUGCCAGCAGCCGCGGUAAUACGGAGGGAGCUAGCGUUGUUCGGAAUUACUGGGCGUAAAGAGUACGUAGGCGGUUAUUCAAGUCAGAGGUGAAAGCCCGGGGCUCAACCCCGGAACUGCCUUUGAAACUAGAUAACUAGAGUCUUGGAGAGGUUAGUGGAAUUCCGAGUGUAGAGGUGAAAUUCGUAGAUAUUCGGAAGAACACCAGUGGCGAAGGCGACUAACUGGACAAGUACUGACGCUGAGGUACGAAAGCGUGGGGAGCAAACAGGAUUAGAUACCCUGGUAGUCCACGCCGUAAACGAUGAUAACUAGUUGUUCGGUCACUUGGUGACUGAGUGACGCAGCUAACGCAUUAAGUUAUCCGCCUGGGGAGUACGGUCGCAAGAUUAAAACGUCAAAUGAAUUGACGG